GGAUGUGAAGGUGAUCUGCCUAUGACAUCUGUCACCCACUGAUUGACUGAUCUGACUGCCUAGGCAGAUGUCGCCUUCCUCCCUGACCAGGUGCAUCCCUCCUGAAGUUGCUGUGCACUUAGUUGAAGGGGGUGACCUUUCCUGAUAGAGGAGAUAGAGGAGGACCAGUCUUGGGUCAAGGGUACAGGAGUUGCUGUGCUUUCUGGUAGAACCUCCAAAAACACUCUCAAGAAAUUGGAAGAACAUAGCUUUCUUCAUAUGGUGAUUUAUUUUUCUGA
rfam:Ictidomys tridecemlineatus contig093446, whole genome shotgun sequence.